rnacentral:rRNA from 1 species
UGGGGAAUAUUGCACAAUGGGCGCAAGCCUGAUGCAGCAACGCCGCGUGAAUGAUGAAGGCCUUCGGGUCGUAAAGUUCUGUCCUAAGGGAAGAAUACAGUGACGGUACCUUAGGAGGAAGCCCCGGCUAACUACGUGCCAGCAGCCGCGGUAAUACGUAGGGGGCAAGCGUUAUCCGGAAUCACUGGGCGUAAAGGGAGCGUAGGCGGUUUGACAAGCCAGAGGUGAAAGGCAAUAGCUUAACUAUUGUAAGCCUUUGGAACUGUCGAACUUGAGUGUAGGAGAGGAAAGUGGAAUUCCUAGUGUAGCGGUGAAAUGCGUAGAUAUUAGGAGGAACACCAGUGGCGAAGGCGACUUUCUGGACUAUAACUGACGCUGAGGCUCGAAAGCGUGGGGAGCA